UGUUCCUUUUUGGACCACUUUGUUCACAUUGGACUUGUUUGUAACUAGUUCAAUACUGUUUAGCCCAAAAAGCUUCUCACUUCUUAUCUGAUUAUUCGACUGUUCAUGAACCUUAUUGGAGAGGGUGGAGUUGCACUGUUCAUUUUUGGACCACUGUGUUCACAUUGUGCUUGUUUGUAGCUGGUUCAAUACGGUUUACCUAAAAGGCUUCUCACUUUUCAUUCGAUUGUUCGACUGUUCGUGAACGGGUUCCAUUACCGUUCCCUAAAUAUCUCCACUAAAAAGUGCAUUUUGCGUUCUCUCUCACUUUGUGCUAUGCUUUUCGAUCUCUCUGCUUUUGGAUCUCGAUUCCAUCGGACUUCAACAUACAAUUUGGGGACGAGGAUGAAGAAGACGAAGACGACGAAGAAAAAGGCUCCGUUGUGACGACUGGUGAAGGAGGAGGAGCUGAAGCUCGAGAUCGAUGACCUCAAGGCCAAGGUCAAUACUUUUUUCCCCUGAAGAGAACCAAAAUUUGCAAAGUGAGAAUGACUUAUUGAUUGCUAUAAAUUUGUUUAGUUUAAUUUUUUUUGUGGUUUUGUCGCACAUGAAGGGGCUGCAGCAAUUUGCCGACGUGGAAGGAGCUUAGAAAUUCAUAAUAAUGCAUCUGCUGAGGUAGCAGUAGACCUGUAUCACAAAUACAAAGUAGUUGGAUUUUAAAUCUUCGUUUAAAAUUUGACCAUGCAUUAACGAAAUUUUACACGAACCAUUUCUGUGAAUAUAUAGCAAGAUGUCGAUCUUAUGGCGGAACUGAACUUGGAUCCUUACUGGUUUUUAAUUUCGUGGUCAAGAAUAUAUACGAGUAAUUGUCGUAACAGAUAUUUUCACUUGACUUAAUUUAUGAAUAAUCAGUAGCACAAGUAACUACAUGUUCUUUACAUGUAGAUGGAACUGGGAAAGUAAAUUGGAAGAGAGU
rnacentral:lncRNA from 1 species